rnacentral:rRNA from 1 species
CGACUCUCGGCAACGGAUAUCUCGGCUCUCGCAUCGAUGAAGAACGUAGCGAAAUGCGAUACUUGGUGUGAAUUGCAGAAUCCCGUGAACCAUCGAGUUUUUGAACGCAAGUUGCGCCCGAAGCCUUCGGGCCGAGGGCACGCCUGCCUGGGCGUCACGCAUCGCGUCGCCCCCCCACC